rnacentral:rRNA from 1 species
CUCACUCCAUCUAGCUCAUCCACCACCACUAACCACCCAAACUUACAAACAAACCAUUACCCCAAAAACCAGUAGCACACCCACCGCAUGCGAUCGAAAAUUAACCCGAAGCUAUAGAGACAGUACCGCAAGGGAAAGAUGAAAUAACACUACAUGUAAAAAAAGCAGAGACUAACCCACGUACCUUUUGCAUCAUGAUUUAGCAAGAAGCACCCGACCAAAACGCCUUACAGCUCGCCUACCCGAAAUCAAGUGAGCUACUUCCAGGCGUUCUAACAGGACUACCUCCCCCCUGUCGCAAAAGAGGGAAAAGACCUGAAAGUAGAGGUGAAAAGCCAAACGAACUUGAAGAUAGCUGGUUGUCUGAUAAACGAAUCUUAGUUCUCCUCUUAGUUUAAACUUAGCAAAUAAAAUAGCACAACCUUCAACUAAAAGUAUAUUCAAUAGUGGUACAUCACUAUCGAAAUAGGGUACAACCUAAAUCAGAGAGACACCAUCCUUUUCCCCCAUCCAGUAGGCCCCAAAACAGCCACCAAAAACAAAAACGUUACAGUACCUAAAACAAAAAUCCCACCAACCACCAAAUUCUCCUGCCAACCAUCAGACCACCCCUAUAUCCAUAUGGAGGAACUAAUGCUAAAACUAGUAACAAGACACCCUCUCUUUGCACACCCAUAAAUCGGCCCAGAACAUCUACCGACAAUUAACAGACAAAUAAACCUGCUCUCACUAACUUCCCAUAUCUUCACCAACUGUUAACCCAACACAGGAGUGCUUCAAAGAAAGAUUAAAAGUUAAAAAAGGAACUCGGCAACCCACUAUUCCGACUGUUUACCAAAAACAUAGCCUUUGGCAAUACACAGUAUCAAAGGUAACGCCUGCCCAGUGAUUUUAUUAAACGGCCGCGGUAUCCUAACCGUGCAAAGGUAGCGCAAUCACUUGUCCCCUAAAUAGUGACUAGUAUGAAUGGCUCCACGAGAAUAGACCUGUCUCUUUUAACUAAUCAAUGAACCUGAUCUUCCAGUACUAAAGCUGGAAUACUAACAUAAGACGAAAAGACCCUGUGGAGCUUAAGUACUAAACUACCACCACUAGCAUAAAUACUUCAGUUGGGGCAACUUCGGAAUCAAACCAAACUUCCGACUACACUCCGGAAACACCGUCACAACAGACCUACAAGUCAAACCAACGAAAUAGAUCCAGUAAAUUACUGAUCAGCGAACCAAGUUACCCCAGGGAUAACAGCGCUAUCUUCUUCUAGAGCCCCAAUCGACAAGAAGGUUUACGACCUCGAUGUUGGAUCAGGACACCCAAAUGGCGCAGCCGCUAUUAAAGGUUCGUUUGUUCAACGAUUAAAGCCCUACGUGAUCUGAGUUCAGACCGGAGUAAUCCAGGUCAGUUUCUAUCUAUGCACCAUUUUCUUCAGUACGAAAGGACCAAGAAAAUAGGACCAAUGCUUACAGUAAGUCCUCCCUCAAAGAAAUCAUAUUAAACCACAGUCCCCCCUCCCACCCCAAAAACAGGGCC